rnacentral:rRNA from 1 species
CCUACGGGUGGCAGCAGUGGGGAAUAUUGCACAAUGGGGGAAACCCUGAUGCAGCGACGCCGCGUGAGUGAAGAAGUAAUUCGUUAUGUAAAGCUCUAUCAGCAGGGAAGAAAAGGACGGUACCUGAGUAAGAAGCCCCGGCUAACUACGUGCCAGCAGCCGCGGUAAGACGUAGGGGGCAAGCGUUAUCCGGAUUUACUGGGUGUAAAGGGAGCGUAGACGGCAGUGCAAGUCUGGAGUGAAAGGCGGGGGCUCAACCCCCGGACUGCCCUGGAAACGGUACGGCUGGAGUGCAGGAGAGGUAAGUGGAAUUCCUCGUGUAGCGGUGCACUGCGUAGAUAUUAGGAG